CUACCCUUCAUACAGAGAAGAAAUUAGUGUAGUAUCGUUCUUAUCAGUUUAAUAUCUGAUAUGUCCUCAAUGAGAGGACUUUAUAUUAAACAGAUUUUAUUAUUUUUAUAAUUCUUGGCUGAGCAGGUGUGUUCCUUGAACUUGAGGGUCACAAGGUCCGGGUGGGCUUCCUCU